UACAGAAUGCCUGAUUAAAGGAUAAUUUUGAUAGAAUUAAUAACGUGUUUUUCCCUAACACUUCUGUAA
rnacentral:tRNA from 1 species